rnacentral:snRNA from 1 species
GUUUUAAAAUCAUCGUUAAAAUUAUCAUCAAAAUUGGUACCAUACAGAGAAGAUUAGCAUGGCCCCUGAGCAAGGAUGACACGCAAAUUCAUGAAGCAUUCCAUAUUUUA